GGUCGUGGCAAUCGGUCCGCUCCUCGCGGAGUGUGCACCUGGUUGCUGCAGCCAUCCUCGCGGAGAGCGCAUCUGGCAUUAAUUUAUCGGGUGCGGGAUCCGCGUCAUUUACUGUGAGCAAAAUAGAGUGUUCAAAGCAGGCUUAAGCCGUUGAAUACAUUAGCAUGGAAUAAUAAGAUAGGACCUUGGUCUAUUUUGUUGGUUUGUACUCCAAGGUA
rnacentral:rRNA from 1 species